GAGGACUGGGAGAAGGAGACACCUAUAGGUGCUGGCCCUUUGGUUCUGUUUUCUCUACUCUGAAGAGACCUGUUGGAGCCUCUUUGCUCUCAGGCAAGAGGAAGUUAAAUAAAUUAUCAGGAGAGACAAGCUCUGCAGGAACCUAACUGAGAGACAAUUGCAAUUGGUAUGGUGGCCUAGAGCCAUGCGGAUGGUCCGGUAGGUGGUGAGAGGGGUAGUUUUACUAUGCCCCUGCUCUUGUGACAUUGUCCCUUUGGUCCUUGUGACAUUACUAUCCUUUCCCAUUGUGUUUUGAAGCCCCCCCAUAUAAAAAUUGAUUUAUUA
ensembl:lncRNA